GAGCGCGUAGCUCAGUUGGAAGAGCAUUGGGCUAGCAUUCCAAAGGUCGUAGGUUCGAAUCCCACCGUGGCCG
rnacentral:tRNA from 1 species